GAGGUAUGAGGAAAACAUCUGAAUCAGUCUGAUCCAACUCUGACCUCAGCAAACCA
ensembl:snoRNA small nucleolar RNA, C/D box 19